GGGCGAUUAGCUCAGUUGGUAGAGCACCUCCCUUACAAGGAGGGGGUCAUCAGUUCGAGUCUGAUAUUGCCCA
rnacentral:tRNA from 2 species